CACUGUAUGGAGGCAGCACAUCUUGUUCCAGGUGGAAGAUUAGCGGGUAGAAAAUUCAAUGCUUUUAAGGCCAAAGUUGAAAAACCAGAAAUGCAGCGAUGUGUGGGCAGCAGAGACAGACCACAGGAAAAGUACAGCUAAAUUGUAAUCUCCCCUUAAGUUACUAUGGAAACGGAGGAAUCCUGCAUCAUAGGCACACAGUGUUUGCACUGCAGGAAUCAGGCGCGUCUCUCGGCCGAUACAAUCAGUAACAUUACUGGGAUUAUCUGACACAGACAGAGAUCAAAUCUCCCUCCACGCAGGGCUGGGUGAGAGUAAACAUAAGAGGAUGGGCUCCUCCGCUUCCCACACGGAUUACUAAAUCCGAACGCUAUAAUAACAGGGGGCACAGGUACAGGAAUCUGCAUAUUCAUCCAGGACAUAGGCCGGCACAGUGACUUCAGCACAAUGCUACGCAGCAGUCCCUAUGGUGCUUACAUCCUUUUCCCAAGAACACUCCAAAUAACCUUAGAGGAUGGAAAUCUUCCAAAGAACUUUUGAUCUAUUCUGAUCCGUUCCAGGCACACCAUACACAUAAGAAAAAGUUGGUCAAACCAGCCAACAAAUAUGUAUGGGGGCUCCUGAUUCUUCCUCCCCCCCAAAAAAUUUAAGCAGAGAAACAUCAGCUCCCCUAUGGUGCUCACAUCCUAUUCCCAAGAACAAUCCCAAUAACCCAAGGGGACGGAAAUCCUCCAAAGAACUUUUGAUCCAUUCCCAGACAGGAACGUGUGAGAUGUUAGGAUUAGUACAAUCCAGCUACUGACAAUCAUUCCUGAAAACAGCCAUCGAUCAAUUCUCAACAGCUGGAAAAACAAAGACAACCACAAACGUAUUAUUACCAUGUUUUAUGUGACCCUUCCAUGCAUUCAUGAGGUUAAAUGUUUAGAUCAUACAGCCAGUACAAACCGCCUUCUAUAUAAUACUUGCAUGAGUGAUGUCCCGAAAUAUCCUGGACAGUUCAUAUUUCCUGUAGCUUGAAAUAUGCAAAUGGUGAGAAACAUGCCCCAAGAGCUGUCAAUUCCAGGUAAACCAUGGAGAACGAAGCUACAAUUACAAUAAUCGCUGGAUGUUUAAUUGGUCAUGGUCUUGUUAUUAUUCCCGGGGGGUUCUCAUAUAUGUCAUCCAGGGGCUGACAAUGCAAAGAGUACACAUGACAGAAUGUAAAAACACAACUGGUAAAUCGAUAUAAGCAGUGGUGAAUAUACAAAUCAGGUCUGGCUGAUGUUCAGUACUUGAACGCCUAUAUUCAUGCUUGAUCGUGAGUUUAGAGAAAAACUACACUA